rnacentral:snRNA from 1 species
GUGUUGGAUUCAGCAGCACACAAUUGAAACUGGAAUGAUACAGAAAAAAUUAGCAUAGCCCCUGCUAAGUGGUGUCAUGCAAAUUCAUGAAGUAUUUCAUAUUUUU